rnacentral:rRNA from 1 species
CCCUUAGAUGUUCUGGGCUGCACGCGCGCUACACUGAUGCAUGCAACGAGUUUUCGACCUUGCCUGAAAAGGUUGGGUAAUCUGUUUAACAUGUGUCGUGAUGGGGAUAGACCAUUGCAAUUAUUGAUCUUCAACGAGGAAUUCCUAGUAAGCGCGAGUCAUCAGCUCGUGCUGAUUAUGUCCCUGCCCUUUGUACACACCGCCCGUCGCUACUACCGAUUGAAUGGCUCAGUGAGGCCUUCGGACUGGCCCAGGGAGGUUGGCAACGACCACCCAGGGCCGGAAAGUUGGUCAAACUUGGUCAUUUAGAGGAAGUAAAAGUCGUAACA